rnacentral:rRNA from 1 species
AUUGAACGCUGGCGGCAGGCCUAACACAUGCAAGUCGAGCGGAUGAGAAGAGCUUGCUCUUCGAUUCAGCGGCGGACGGGUGAGUAAUGCCUAGGAAUCUGCCUGGUAGUGGGGGACAACGUUUCGAAAGGAACGCUAAUACCGCAUACGUCCUACGGGAGAAAGCAGGGGACCUUCGGGCCUUGCCCUAUCAGAUGAGCCUCGGUCGAAUUAGCUUGUUGGUGAGGUAAUGGCUCACCAAGGCGACGAUCCGUAACUGGUCUGAGAGGAUGUACAGUCACACUGGAACUGAGACACGGUACAUACUCCUACGGGAGGCAGCAGUGGGGAAUAUUGGACAAUGGGCGAAAGCCUGAUCCAGCCAUGCGGCGUGUGUGAAGAAGGUCUCCGGAUUGUAAAGCACUUUAAGUUGGGAGGAAGGGCAGCUAGCGAAUACCUGGUUGUUUUGACGUUACCGACAGUAUAAGCACCGGCUAACUCUGUGCCAGCAGCCGCGGUAA